ensembl:lncRNA
ACAGGCUGUACAUCCAGUCCAUCUUUCUAACUAGAAAUCUUCUUAUCUGUUCCUGGAAUUCUGACAGCGAAAUGGAACGUACUAUAACUUGGGUGCUGCCUGACAGUGUGAAUGAGGAGACAGAAGAAAUGAAGGCGGAGUCCCUGAAGAAAAGUGAGGAUUUACUGAGACGGACAAACAUUGAAAGGCAGACUAUCACCAAGGAGUGGAAAGACCUGCAAAGGUUCCUUGAAGAGCAAGGAGAACACGUAUUGCAGAGUCUGGAUGAGCUGGAGCGAGAAAUAAUUCGGAGGAGAGAUCAGCCCAUUUGGGAAGGUCCUGAAAGGAGGUCAACUUUUCAAGAGAAUGUAGACGGCAACCAGAAGCCACUUGCAAAUAGCUUCCUGGGAACGAAGAGGUAUGUUCUGCCUAAUAUUUUUGCUAUCCAUUUAUUAUUUGGGUUGAGGUUGGGACUUGCCUAGACCAUCAGUUAUUGGAGACACGAGAUGGGCUAGGAUUGAGCAGAAAAAAGUGUGUGCGUGCAUGUCUGGUUUAUCAUAAAUCUAAGGUGGCUGGAUAGCUCAGUGGUUUAGGUACCUGGCUGAGGAACCAGCGGUUGGGAGUUCGAUUCCCCCACUGAGCAUUUCAGAAAAGGCAGCCUGUACGGCCUGGGGCAAGCUGCACAGUCUCAAGAUAUCCCCAGAAAAAGGGAAUAUUAAACCACUUUUGAGUAUUCUUUACUUGGAAAACCUUGAAAAAAGUCACCAUAAGUCAGAACUGAUUACACAUUAAGAAAAGCGAGGGACAAAAUAUCUACCCAUCUUUUCAUACUUUUUUUUUUUGAGGGCUGUUACCUUGAAAAUCUCUCAGUUCUCAAGUGGUUUUCACGAUCUGUAUAGAAAGAAAUUGCUUGUGACAGAUAUAGGAAGCAUUAUUUACAGUCUAAAUAGUCUUAAUUUGCUCUGAGCAGGGCCAGUACAUAACCAAAUAUGAUCAGUGAUUAAGUACUGACAUUGUUUGCUGCUAGCGUGUGAUUCCCUAAUUGACUGGGAUCACUCAGAAAGGAAUGAAACAGACAAGAAAUGGGCAUCUCAAAGCAGCAACAAGCAGACAAAACAAGGUUUGCUCAGUUCAUUUAAAAAAAAACAGCCACUGGAGAUUGGAGAAGCUAUUUUUUCCCUUCAGCUCCAAAAAUUCCCCAACCAGCAUGGCCUAAUAAACUGUCCUGGGGAUUCUGCA